rnacentral:rRNA from 1 species
CCUACGGGGGGCAGCAGUGGGGAAUAGUGGGCAAUGGGCGAAAGCCUGACCCAGCAACGCCGCGUGAAGGAAGAAGGCUUUCGGGUUGUAAACUUCUUUUGACAGGGAAGAGCAGAAGACGGUACCUGUCGAAUAAGACAAGGCUAACUACGGGCCAGCAGCCGCGGUAAUACGUAGGUGGCAAGCGUUGUCCGGAUUUACUGGGUGUAAAGGGCGUGUAGCCGGGCUGACAAGUCAGAUGGGAAAUCCGGGGGCUCAACCCCCGAACUGCAUUUUAAACUUUUGGUCUUGAGUAUCGGAGAGGCAGGCGGACUUCCUCGUGUAGCCGUGAACUGCGUAGAUAUUAGGCGGAACACCAGUGGCGAAGGCGGCCUGCUGGACGACAACUGACGGUGAGGCGCGCAAGCGUGGGGAGCAAACAGGCUUAGAUACCCUGGUAGUC